rnacentral:lncRNA from 1 species
UUCUGAGCUCAGCCAGCAUCCAGAGAGAGAGUGAGAUACAGCCUCCUCUUCUUGAAGCACCCACUUCUAAACUCUGUGACAGUUUUCUUGGAACUCUGUUAUGUGGAUCUGGAGAUGACAAUGUCACAGCACUCCCCUCUAAGCCUAAAUUCCCCCACACCGAUGAACUAUUAGGAUCCAGUAUCUGCCGGAGGAGCCCCACCUUCUGCUACUAUUAUGUUCUUCAGAUGAGUAGAAGAGAGUGGGGAGGGAGAGAGCAGGAAGAAGAAAGGAAGAAUAAUGUCUUGAAAUUGGUAAAAGCGUUUUUGUUUGCACAUCCUGCAUUAUUAAUAUUUCUUGUUUAGCAUAAUUAGCUACCCUCUCAAGCUUACACACAACCUGCAGUGUUUAUGCCUUCCGAUGAUAGCUAAACCAUCAGCAAAGCAGUCCAGGUCCCUGAAGGCUGAAUGCAGGUGGUUCUGAAGGCUGCAGGAUGCAUUCAAAAAGCAGGAUACAUAAGCUUUAAUUGUUGCUAAAAAUACAUUCACUAGAAGAAUCGGACUCCUUCUAUCUGUCUGGAGUGGAUAAAAGCCAACUAUGGAUUCAGUAGUCUAAAGAAAGUCGCAGAAGAACAAAGAAAAGGUAGACAAAUGGGCCCAAAUGAACUUCAUUAAUGAGAAAAAAAGAUAACUAAUAUAAGACAAUACCACUUCUCUUUAUUCAAAUAAUUGGCAGUCAAUUUUACUUGGACAAUAACUAUGGCCUCAAAUGUGAUUUCAGGCUCAACAAAGCAGUGCAAUUUAAGGUCUAUCAUGCCUUGUUGUCAUGCUUCACGCAGCCUGGAAUAAGUAAUUCAAUACCCCUUACAGGAUCACCAGCUAUUAAAC